AACAACAUGAUCUUUGCAGGCAGAGGACAAGGCAAGGUUAGAAAGUAACCUAAAUAAAAAAUAUUAUUACUCUGCAUUGUUUUGUUAAAAUAUUUUUAAGCUGAGAUUCAUUCAGUAACAGCUUUAUCCUGGUCAGGGUUACAGUGGAUCCGGAGGGAAUCCCAGGAACAGGGGACUAACACUAGUCCAUUGCAGGGUUAAAGCAGAGACGUCAAAGUACAUUACAGGCAGCAAACAAUUUUGGUCAAAACCUGACUUUUCAUCAUUGUUAGCUCUGUACCAAAAUGUAGCCGUACAGACUUCCGACUGGUUUUCAUAUUAAUUAAAAGAAAUCUUCGUGUCCGUAUCAAAUUGUUCAGAUUAGGGAUGCACUGAAUGUUCGGCAACCGAAAUUAUUCGGCUAAAAAUAGCAAAACAAAAAAAAAGCAUUUUCGGUGUUCGGCCGAAUAAGUGAAAAGGCCAAAUAAAUUUGACCGAAAAAUGACGUGUUUGAUGACGCGCCAAAUAGCCUAGCAACCAGAGUGAGAUGCGCGAAUUUCACGACCUCCACUUCCGGCAGCGCGCUUGGAACGAUGCUACGUGCUACGUGCACGAGCGCAUGCACUUCAGAUGUUGACAACCGUGACACUGUUUACUGUGAACACGUGCACGUUUGUUUUGUUUCUGUUCCGGAGUAUUCUGUCACGUCACGAGACGUAAGGGAGUAGAGUACGGAAGCAGAGUCACGGGGAACCUGGAGCCUAUCCCAGGGAGCAUCGGG